rnacentral:rRNA from 1 species
GACAGAGGUGCCAAGCGUUAGGCGGAAUCACUGGGCUUAAAGCGUGUGUAGGCGGAUCGUUAAGUACCUUGUGAAAUCCCACGGCUCAACCGUGGAACUGCUGGGUAUACUGGCGAUCUUGAGCCACCUAGGGGCGAGCGGAACAGGCGGUGGAGCGGUGAAAUGCGUAGAUAUCGCUUGGAACGCCAAUGGUGAAAACAGCUCGCUGGGGGUGUGCUGACGCUGAGACACGAAAGCCAGGGGAGCGAACGGG